ACCUGGUUGAUUCUGCCAGUUGUCAUAUGCUUGUCUCAAAGAUUAAGCCAUGCAUGUCUAAGUAUAAGCAAUUAUACAGCGAAACUGCGAAUGGCUCAUUAUAUAAGUUAUCGUUUAUUUGAUAGUACCUUACUACUUGGAUAACCGUGGUAAUUCUAGAGCUAAUACAUGCUAAAAAUCCCGACUUCGGAAGGGAUGUAUUUAUUAGAUUAAAAACCAAUGCCCUCCGGGGCUCACUGGUGAUUCAUGAUAACUCCUCGAAUCGCAUGGCCUUGCGCCGGCGAUGGUUCAUUCAAAUUUCUUCCCUAUCAACUUUCGAUGCCUGGGUAUUGGCCAAACAUGGUUGCAACGGGUAACGGAGGGUUAGGGCUCGACCCCGGAGAAGGAGCCUGAGAAACGGCUACUACAUCCAAGGAAGGCAGCAGGCGCGCAAAUUACCCAAUCCCGACGGGGGGAGGUAGUGACAAUAAAUACUGAUACAGGGCUCUUUUGGGUCUUGUAAUUGGAAUGAGUACAAGUUAAAUCCUGUAACGAGGAAUAAUUGGAGGGCAAGUCUGGUGCCAGCAGCCGCGGUAAUUCCAGCUCCAAUAGCGUAUAUUAAAGUUGUUGUGGUUAAAAAGCUCGUAGUUGAACCUUGGGCCUGGCUGGCCGGUCCGCCUCACCGCGUGUACUGGUCCGGCCGGGCCUUUCCCUCUGUGGAACCCUAUGCCCUUCACUGGGCGUGGCGGGGAAACAGGACUUUUACUGUGAAAAAAUUAGAGUGCUCCAGGCAGGCCUAUGCUCGAAUACAUUAGCAUGGAAUAAUAGAAUAGGACGUGUGGUUCUAUUUUGUUGGUUUCUAGGACCGCCGUAAUGAUUAAUAGGGACAGUCGGGGGCAUCAGUAUUCAAUUGUCAGAGGUGAAAUUCUUGGAAUUAUUGAAGACUAACUACUGCGAAAGCAUUUGCCAAGGAUGUUAUCAUUAAUCAGCAACGAAAGUUAGGGGAUCGAAGA
rnacentral:rRNA from 1 species